rnacentral:rRNA from 1 species
UGUCCACUAAUUAUGGACUAGUAUGAAAGGCAAAAUGAGGGUUUAACUGUCUCUUAUAAUAAGUCAAUUAAACUGAUCUACCAGUAAAAAAGCUGGAAUAAACACACAAGACCAGAAGACCCUGUGAAGCUUAAACUAAACUAUUAAACCACAUAAUAACUACUUUCGGUUGGGGCGACCUUGGAAAAAAAAGAACUUCCAAACUAGUGACAUCAAUCACCCCCAGGCCAACAAGCCACAUACGACCCAGUACACCUGACAAUUGAACCAAGUUACUCCAGGGAUAACAGCGCCAUCUUCUUCAAGAGUCCAUAUCAAAAAGAAGGUUUACGACCUCGAUGUUGGAUCAGGACAUCCUAAUGGUGUA